rnacentral:rRNA from 1 species
AUUGAACGCUGGCGGCAUGCCUUACACAUGCAAGUCGAACGGCAGCACGGGAGCAAUCCUGGUGGCGAGUGGCGAACGGGUGAGUAAAGUAUCGGAACGUGCCCAGUCGUGGGGGAUAACGUAGCGAAAGUUACGCUAAUACCGCAUACGAGCUAUGGAUGAAAGCGGGGGAUCGCAAGACCUCGCGCGAUUGGAGCGGCCGAUAUCAGAUUAGGUAGUUGGUGGGGUAAAGGCCCACCAAGCCGACGAUCUGGAGCUGGUCUGAGGCGACGACCAGCCACACGGGGACUGAGACACGGCCCAGACUCCUACGGGAGGCAGCAGUGGGGAAUUUUGGACAAUGGGCGAAAGCCUGAUCCAGCCAUGCCGCGUGCAGGAUGAAGGCCUUCGGGUUGUAAACUGCUUUUGUACGGAACGAAAAGGACUGCCCUAAUACGGUGGUCCCAUGACGGUACCGUAAGAAUAAGCACCGGCUAACUACGUGCCAGCAGCCGCCGUAA